GCUGCGUUUAAAUUAAGCGCGGCAAACCAUCGAACAUUGGCGCGCGCGGCGGCCGCGCUCUAUGUAGACGGGGUCGCCGCGCGCGGCGACUCGAACAUUGCCGCGCUCGAACGUGCCGCGGGUCGAUCCGCUCGAUGUCGGUUUUUGAGACCGCAUCAAAGGUGCUUCAGUCGUUGGCGCGCGCGCAGUUGGGACGGUUAUAGUUUUGGUGAUUUGGCUCGCGCGGCGAAUACGUAAUAAUGGACAACGAAAAGUGCCGUUUACUAAUUCAAUUGUAUGGCGAUAAAGAAUUUUUGUGGAACAGCAAAUCCACCCAAUACCACAAUAAAUCGCUGAGGUAUGAUGCGUGGGUAGAAAUCAGUAAGAAAAUGGAUAUACCUAUUCCGGACUUGAAAAAGAAAAUGACUACACUUUUGGCGUCCUACAGAAGAGAAUAAUCUAGAAUAGCUAAAAGUUGUCGUACUGGUUCUGAUAAGUACCUAUUUAUUUUGCAUUUACAACAAAAAAUAAAACGCAUUUUGUAAUUACGUAAAUAAUUUUUAUUUUUAUUACAGCCACAAAUGAAGUUUACGUUUCGAAGUGGUUUGCUUUCGAUGACUUUAAUUUCAUGAGGGAUAAAGAUCUACCCAAUGAAACAUUGGACACAAUGUCUGAAAAUGAAUAAUGUCAUCUGAAUCUGUGAGUCAAGCAAUCAUAAGUACUUGUGAAGCACUUACAUAUGUCCUACGGGAAUAUAUAAAGGUAAGAAAAAACUACAUGAUACAAUUUUAAUGUUUAUAAUUAUUUAUUGGAACGAAUCACAAAAACUAAAAAAAAAUACCUAUAACUAAUUUUGAACUUAUUCACCUUGGUAAGAAGAGAAUAGCGUCCCUAAAUUAUACUCGAAAUCUGAAGUGCUUGAUGUAUUCGGAAUAUGUAACGUAUAACUUGUCUCACUGUGUCUACGUACAUUGUUCGUAUUUGUAAGGAUCAAAUUAGAAGGCACGCCAGCGAUUACAUUGCUAUGAGUAAAACUUGGAACAUCAUUUGUUUGGGGCGUGGCUGCAACACAAUUUUCCGGAGAUGUAACAGAUUGUAGUGAUUGUACAGAUACAGAAUUCGAGUAAAUCGGUGACGGCGUCGGAUGAGGUACACUAUUCGGUGAUGGUGAUGGCGAUGGAUGACUAUUCGAAGUCUGAGAUACAAAGCGGUUAAAUACUUGAGGGCUAGUGUUAAUUUGUACUGAGUCCCUGUUUAGUGUCCCAAGUUCAGCUUCGAAAAGAAUUUCGUUGAUUGCCUUUUCGGCGAGCAGUCUUUGAGUUGGCAUCAAUUUAUUUAGCUUCUGAGCCCAAUAAACAGCAGUAGGAUCUAUAUUUGGGAAUGAUACACUUGGAAACUCCAUGUAGGAUAAUUAUCACGGCCCGCCAAACGAUCAAUUUGAGCAAAGCUAUGCGACCGGGGGUCCGCCAUUGUAAGCUGAAAAAUUAAUAUGACGACGCGACGUAUCACGCAAUCAAUUUGCAUCAACCUGAUGCCUUUCACUUUAUUAAUCCUACUUCCCUACUUCUAUCCGGGCGUCUGUUCCCAUAACCUGUUACAAACUAUUUUUGAGUUGGAAUUUAGAAAUAAAAUAAAACUGCGUUGAGAUAGUUCUCGUUCCGAUAUGGUGAAAACCGCGCGAUUGUCAGAUCGUGCGGUUUGAAACGCAAAAAUGUCGAAUGUUCAAACAUUGGCGGUUAGUUAGCGAUCAGUUUCAAGAUGGAAGUCGAAGAGGAACUAGCGUGUCUGUGGUUGAUACAGAAAAGAAAAG